UGAGGAAUAUUGCUCAAUGGGCGAAAGCCUGAAGCAGCAACGCCGCGUGCGCGAUGAAGGCCUUCGGGUCGUAAAGCGCUUUUGAGAGGGACGAGAUAGGACGGUACCUCUGAAAUAAGUCACGGCUAACUACGUGCCAGCAGCCGCGGUAAAACGUAGGUGGCAAGCGUUAUCCGGAUUCACUGGGCGUAAAGCGCGUGCAGGUGGCUUCGUAAGUUGGACGUUAAAUCUCCCGGCCUAACCGGGAGGAGUCGUUCAAUACUGCGGGGCUGGAGGGCAGAAGAGGGGGGUGGAAUUGCUGGUGUAGUGGUGAAAUGCGUAGAUAUCAGCAGGAACACCUGUGGCGAAAGCGGCCCCCUGGUCUGCUCCUGACACUCAGACGCGAAAGCUAGGGGAGUGAACGGGAUUAGAAACCCCGGUAUCCUAGCCGUAAACGAUGGAUGCUAGGUGUGGGUGGUAUUGACCCCAUCCGUGCCGAAGCUAACGCGUUAAGCAUCCCG
rnacentral:rRNA from 1 species